GAAUCAACGCUGGCGGCGUGCCUCAGACAUGCAAGUCGAACGCGAAAGUUCCCUUCGGGGAGCGAGUAGAGUGGCGUACGGGUGAGUAACACGUAGGUAAUCUACCUUUGGGUGGGGAAGUAACAGCCGGAAACGGCUGCUAAUACCGCAUAAUGCAGCGGCUCGACAUCGAGACAGUUGUUAAAGCGGGGGAGUCGCAAGACCUCGCGCCUAAAGAGGAGCCUGCGGCGGAUUAGCUAGUUGGUGAGGUAAUGGCUCACCAAGGCAUCGAUCCGUAGCCGGCCUGAGAGGGCGGUCGGCCACACUGACACUGACAUACGGGUCAGACUCCUACGGGAGGCAGCAGUCGGGAAUUUUGGGUCAAUGGGCGAAAGCCUGACCCAGCAACGCCGCGUGAAGGAUGAAA
rnacentral:rRNA from 1 species